GCGAACGCUGGCGGCAGGCUUAACACAUGCAAGUCGAGCGGGCAUAGCAAUAUGUCAGCGGCAGACGGGUGAGUAACGCGUGGGAACGUACCUUUUGGUUCGGAACAACACAGGGAAACUUGUGCUAAUACCGGAUAAGCCCUUACGGGGAAAGAUUUAUCGCCGAAAGAUCGGCCCGCGUCUGAUUAGCUAGUUGGUGAGGUAACGGCUCACCAAGGCGACGAUCAGUAGCUG
rnacentral:rRNA from 3 species